AACGAACGCUGGCGGCAGGCUUAACACAUGCAAGUCGAACGCCCCGCAAGGGGAGUGGCAGACGGGUGAGUAACGCGUGGGAAUCUACCCAGUUCUACGGAACAACUGAGGGAAACUUCAGCUAAUACCGUAUACGCCCUACGGGGGAAAGAUUUAUCGGAAUUGGAUGAGCCCGCGUAAGAUUAGCUAGUUGGUGGGGUAAAGGCCUACCAAGGCGACGAUCUUUAGCUGGUCUGAGAGGAUGAUCAGCCACACUGGGACUGAGACGCGGCCCAGACUCCUACGGGAGGCAGCAGUGGGGAAUAUUGGACAAUGGGCGCAAGCCUGAUCCAGCCAUGCCGCGUGAGUGAUGAAGGCCUUAGGGUUGUAAAGCUCUUUCAGUGGGGACGAUAAUGACGGUACCCACAGAAGAAGCCCCGGCUAACUUCGUGCCAGCCGCCGCCGUAA
rnacentral:rRNA from 1 species